GGGUCAGUAGGUUGGUCGUGCCACCGGUACGUACUGGUCUCACUGAUUCCUCCUUCCCGAAGAACCGUAAUGCCAUUAAUUUGGUGUUGCGGGGAAACAGGACUGUUACUUUGAAAAAAUUAGAGUGUUUAAAGCAAGCUAACGCUUGAAUACAUUAGCAUGGAAUAAUGUAAUAGGACGAUCGAUCCUAUUUUGUUGGUUUCUAGGAUUGACGUA
rnacentral:rRNA from 1 species